AAUGAACGUUGGCGGCAUGGAUUAGGCAUGCAAGUCGAGCGAGAAGCUUUAGUUUGACGCUUCGGUUGAUUUCUAAAGUGGACAGCGGCGAAAGGGUGAGUAACGCGUAGUUAUCUGCCCCAGGGUCUAGAAUAGCCUCGGGAAACUGAGGGUAAUGCUGGAUAAUAUCUCCGGAUCAAAGGUGAGAUUCCGCCCUGGGAGGAGACUGCGUACUACUAGCUUGUUGGUGGGGUAAAGGCCUACCAAGGCUACGAUGGUUAGCGGGCGUGAGAGCGUGGCCCGUCACACUGGGACUGAGACACUGCCCAGACACCUACGGGUGGCUGCAGUCGAGAAUCUUCCUCAAUGGGCGAAAGCCUGAAGGAGCAAUGCCGCGUGCGGGAUGAAGGCCCUCGGGUUGUAAACCGCGAAAGUAAGGAGGAAGGCUCUGUGAAGAGCAGAGUUUGACCGAUUUACAGUAAGGACGGGCUAAGUUCGUGCCAGCCGCCGCCGUAACAC
rnacentral:rRNA from 1 species